KAYAGASAKKACGAAGUGGUUUGAGCUAGAUAUAACUGUAAUAUUAGUAUUUGUGUAUGGUGUGGCAAAAUGAUAUCAAAAGUUAUGUGUAGGGGUGAUAGGCCUAUCAAAAACCAGGAUAGCUUGAUUCUAAUGAAAGGUAUUUAGUACAAUAUUAUACAUUUAUUAAGUGGCGAGGCUUAUUAAAAAUAUAAAGGUAUAUUAAUUGGUGUAUAUUAAUUUAUAAUAAAAAAAUAUAUAAUUAUAAUAUUAUUUCACUUUAAUUGUUUAUAAAUAUUAAUUAGAUGUAGCUAAGCUUUGUAUGUGUCAAUAAUGUUAGUAUUAGUAUAUUACGCUGGGUUUAUUUGAGGAACUCGGCAAAAAUGUUUCUCAACUGUUUAUCAAAAACAUAACUGUGUGUGACUAUACAUAGCUUUUUCUGCUCAAUGAUUUUAUUAAAUAGCCGCAGUA
rnacentral:rRNA from 1 species